GUCCGCGCAGCUCGUCCGGCCCGCCCGCAGGCCAGCUUCUCUCGGGAGCCUCCACCCAGGCGCAUGGCUCCAUGAAGCAAGAGGAGGAGGCAGAGCGCGAGAGAUCCCGUCCGCCCCAGCCGCGUCUGGGCCAGGAGAAAAGCAAAACCAUAUUCCUGCUGCUGUCAGUUUUGAUGCACUGAGAAAACUUCAGAGACCUAAGCUUUUUCCAGAGAAGAGAAGCUUUACUGGUGUUCCAGCCCUAAGGCUCAUAUGACAUUAACAGACAAGACACUUUUCAGAAAGACAGGCAACGUGUUGGACCUUCCGGAGCUUCUCAGAAGACAGAGGGUUUUCUUUUGAGGCUGUUGUACAGUGGCCUGAUUAUAGCUCACUGUAGCCUCGAAAUUCUGGGCCGAAAUGAUCCGCCUGCCUCAGCCUCCAAAGUAGCUGAGACUACAGCAGUUUAAGUAUAGUGUGCCUGGGCCGGGUGCGGUGGCUCACGCCUAUAAUCCCAGCACUUUGGGAGGCCAAGGCCAGUGGAUCACCUGAGGUCAGGAAUUCGGGACCAACCUGGCCAACAUGUGAAACCCCAUCUCCACUAAAAAAUCCAAAAAUUAGCCAGGCAUGGUGGUGCGUGCCUGUAAUCCCAGCUAUUCAGGAGACUGAGGCAGGAGAAUCGCUGGACCUUGGGGAGGCGGAGGUUGCAGUGAGCUGAGAUCGCACACUACCGUACUCCAGCCUGGGUGACAAAGAAAAACUCCGUCUCAAAAAAUAAUAAUAAUAAAAAAGUAUAGUGUGCCUG
rnacentral:lncRNA from 1 species